UGCGGUUGUGGCGGAAUGGCAGACGCGCUAGGUUGAGGGCCUAGUGGGGGCAACCCCGUGGAGGUUCGAGUCCUCUCAACCGCAU
rnacentral:tRNA from 1 species